CUGGCGCUGGAGCCGAUGGUGAACCACUGGUGGCAGGUGCCGCUCUAUGUCACCGCGACCGGGCUGACGACGUCGCCGAUGCCUUAUCAGUCGCGCAGCUUCCAGAUCGACUUCGACUUCUGCCGCCACGCGCUUGUCAUCNGCGAUCCGCAACAUGUGGAAUUCGCGCUCGCGCCGAUGACCGUCGCGGAAUUCUAUGACCGGACGAUGCAAACUCUGCGCGAUCUUGGCAUCGAGAUGACCAUCUGGACCACG
rnacentral:misc_RNA from 1 species